ACUCAAAUGAAUUGACGGGGGCCCGCACAAGCGGCGGAGCAUGUUGCUUAAUUCGACGCAACGCGAAGAACCUUACCAAGGUUUGACAUGGCCGGAAAUCCCCUGGAGACAGGGGGUCCUUCGGGGCCGGCCACAGGUGGUGCAUGGCUGUCGUCAGCUCGUGUCGUGAGAUGUUGGGUUAAGUCCCGCAACGAGCGCAACCCUCGUCCCAUGUUGCCAGCGGGUGAUGCCGGGGACUCAUGGGAGACUGCCGGGGUCAACUCGGAGGAAGGUGGGGAUGACGUCAAGUCAUCAUGCCCCUUAUGCCUUGGGCUGCAAACAUGCUACAAUGGCCGGUACAGAGCGCUGCGACACCGCAAGGUGGAGCGAAUCGCGGAAAGCCGGUCUCAGUUCGGAUCGGGGUCUGCAACCCGACCCCGUGAAGCCGGAGUCGCUAGUAAUCGCGGAUCAGCAAUGCCGCGGUGAAUACGUUCCCGGGCCUUGCACACACCGCCCGU
rnacentral:rRNA from 1 species